rnacentral:rRNA from 1 species
CACCUACGGGUGGCAGCAGUGGGGAAUAUUGGACAAUGGGGGCAACCCUGAUCCAGCAAUGCCGCGUGUGUGAAGAAGGCCUGCGGGUUGUAAAGCACUUUAAGUGGGGAGGAAGGUCUUAAUGUUAAUACCAUUAAGAAUUGACGUUACCCAAAGAAUAAGCACCGGCUAACUCUGUGCCAGCAGCCGCGGUAAUACAGAGGGUGCAAGCGUUAAUCGGAAUUACUGGGCGUAAAGGGCGCGUAGGUGGUUGAUUUAGUCAGAUGUGAAAUCCCUGGGCUUAACCUAGGAAUUGCAUUUGAUACUGGUCAGCUAGAGUAUGGUAGAGGGAAGUGGAAUUUCAGGUGUAGCGGUGAAAUGCGUAGAUAUCUGAAGGAACACCAGUGGCGAAGGCGGCUUCCUGGACCAUUACUGACACUGAGGCGCGAAAGCGUGGGGAGCGAACAGGAUUAGAUACCCUGGUAGUCCACGCCGUAAACGAUGAGAACUAGAUGUUAGGGGGCUUAGACCUCUUAGUAUCGCAGCAAACGCGUUAA